UGUAGGAGUGAGCCUGCUCGCGAUAGCGGUGUGUCAGUCGACGAAUAUGUACCUGAUACACCGCUAUCGCGAGCAGGCUCACUCCUACA
rnacentral:misc_RNA from 1 species